CCUACGGGAGGCAGCAGUGAGGAAUAUUGGGCAAUGGGGGCAACCCUGACCCAGCCAUGCCGCGUGAGUGAAGAAGGUCUUCGGAUUGUAAAGCUCUUUCGGACGUGACGAUGAUGACGGUAGCGUCUAAAGAAGCACCGGCAAACUUCGUGCCAGCAGCCGCGGUAAUACGAAGGGUGCGAGCGUUGUUCGGAAUUACUGGGCGUAAAGGGAGUGUAGGCGGAUAUGUAAGAUAGCGGUGAAAUGCCGGGGCUCAACCCCGGAACUGCCAUUAUGACUAUGUAUCUAGAGUAAGGGAGAGGAUGGCGGAAUACCCAGUGUAGAGGUGAAAUUCGUAGAUAUUGAGUAGAACACCGGUGGCGAAGGCGGCUAGCUGGACAUUUACUGACGCUGAGGCUCGAAAGCAUGGGGAGCGAAAGGGAUUAGAUACCCUUGUAGUC
rnacentral:rRNA from 1 species